GAGACAGUCACAGAACGGCGGAGCCACUGUCAGUGAUCCUGAGUGGUGCCUCCUGCACGGAUGGAGAAGUUGACCUGAGAUCUAGUGCAGAUAAAGAACAGCAUAAAACGUGGCCUCCUGGGAGCCUGACUAAAUGUGGUGAGAGGGCGGAGCGUACCGGAGACACUUGCACCAUCCGUCUCUGCAAGGACAAGUGAUAGGCUGAGUGAUCCAUUUCCUUCAGGAAUGAAGUGUCUGCUGUGCCCAGAGACCUUCCCAUUGCACCCAAUUCAUUCAACGUCCACAGACUGGAAUCUCUGUACGCACCACGUGACUGGUCCACCCUGCAAUGAGCAAUGCACACUGACCACCUGUGUGUACACCAAGAGGCUGUCACGUCCAGCGACUCCUCCCCAGGCACCAGAACCUACAGUCAGCCUCUCCAUGAGUGUGGAGAGAAGCUACAGCAGCCACCGAGUGACCUAUCAGGGCCCCAGGAUUCACCACUCCAGCCAGUGGCCUCUGCCUGCACCUUCCACGUGUAUCUGGCUUGGCUCGUUUAUACAUCCAGGAUGUGGGUGAGCACCUUUUCCUGCUCCUCCAUCAUGAAAAUGUCUCAAAUUCAGGAACUAGCCAGUGGGAGGAGUCACUCCCAAAAUUCUGAGACCAAGUCAUUGCUCCAUAGAUGGGCAGCUGCUUGGAAAUCGGCUAUUCCAUGUGUCACUCACCAGUGUGGUCUUAUUAAUAUUCUGCAGUUAUUACACUCCUUUUAAAAUGGCUAUAGCCCAUUUAACUCAAAAGAUCCCAACAUGCCUGACAAGCCACCUGGAGCAGCAGUGAGUAAAACUUUAACACUGGGGGCUGAAAUAGCAACUUGUCAGGAGUCAGAGAGUCACAAUUCUGGAAUAUAUUUACAUAUAUUUGCAUGA